rnacentral:rRNA from 1 species
GACAGAGGGUGCGAACGUUGUUCGGAAUUACUGGGCGUAAAGCGUGUGUAGGCGGCAGCGCAAGUCGGGCGUGAAAUCCCACGGCUCAACCGUGGAAGUGCACUCGAAACUGCGCAGCUAGAGUCCUGGAGAGGAAGGUGGAAUGCUUGGUGUAGAGGUGAAAUUCGUAGAUAUCAAGCGGAACACCGGUGGCGAAGGCGGCCUUCUGGACAGUGACUGACGCUGAGACACGAAAGCGUGGGGAGCAAACAGG